rnacentral:hammerhead_ribozyme from 1 species
AUUCAGCUGAUGAGUCCCAAAUGGGACGAAACUUGGGUCAAACUGGAU